AGCAGCCGCGGUAAUUCCAGCUCCAAUAGCGUAUAUUAAAGUUGUUGCAGUCAAAAAGCUCGUAGUUGAAUUUCGGGGUCAGUAGGUUGGUCGUGCCACCGGUACGUACUGGUCACACUGAUUCCUCCUUCCUGAUGAGCUGUAAUGCCAUUAAUUUGGUGUUGCAGGGAAUCUGGACUGUUACUUUGAAAAAUUGAGUGUUUAAAGCAGGCUAACGCUUGAAUACAUUAGCAUGGAAUAAUGAAAUAGGACGUUCGAUCCUAUUUUGUGUUUCUAGGAUUGACGUAAUGAUUAAUAGGGAUAGUUGGGGCAUUAGUAUUCAAUUGUCAGAGGUGAAAUUCUUAGGAUUUAUUGAAGACUAACUACUGACGAAAGC
rnacentral:rRNA from 1 species